GAUGAACGCUGGCGGCGUGCCUAAUACAUGCAAGUCGAGCGAACAGACGAGGAGCUUGCUCCUCUGACGUUAGCGGCGGACGGGUGAGUAACACGUGUAUAACCUACCUAUAAGUCUGGGAUCACUUCGGGAAACCGGAGCUAAUACCGGAUAAUCUAUUGAACCGCAUGGUUCAAUAGUGAAAGACGGUUUUGCUGUCACUUCUAGAUGGUUCCGCGCCGCAUUAGCUAGUUGGUAAGGUAACGGCUUACCAAGGCAACGAUGCGUAGCCGACCUGAGAGGGUGAUCGGCCACACUGGAACUGAGACACGGUCCAGACUCCUACGGGAGGCAGCAGUAGGGAAUCUGCCGCAAUGGGCGAAAGCCUGACGGAGCAACGCCGCGUGAGUGAUGAAGAUCUUCGGAUCGUAAAACUCUGUUAUUAGGGAAGAACAAAUGUGUAAGUAACUAUGCACGUCUUGACGGUACCUAAUCAGAAAGCCACGGCUAACUACGUG
rnacentral:rRNA from 1 species